UACAGGGGGUGCAAACGUUGCUCGGAAUCAUUGGGCGUAAAGCGCCCGUAGGCGGUUCGUUAUGUCGGAUGUGAAAGCCCUCGGCUUAACUGCGGAAGUGCAUCCGAAACUGGCGAGCUAGAGUACUAAAGAGGGUCGCGGAAUUCCCGGUGUAGAAGUGAAAUUCGUAGAUAUCGGGAGGAACACCGGUGGCGAAGGCGGCGACCUGGGUAGAUACUGACGCUGAGGUGCGAAAGCGUGGGGAGCAAACAGG
rnacentral:rRNA from 1 species